AUUGAACGCUGGCGGCAUGCUUUACACAUGCAAGUCGAACGGUAACAGGCCGCAAGGUGCUGACGAGUGGCGAACGGGUGAGUAAUGCAUCGGAACGUGCCCAGUCGUGGGGGAUAACGCAGCGAAAGCUGCGCUAAUACCGCAUACGAUCUAUGGAUGAAAGCGGGGGACCGUAAGGCCUCGCGCGAUUGGAGCGGCCGAUGUCAGAUUAGGUAGUUGGUGGGGUAAAGGCUCACCAAGCCAACGAUCUGUAGCUGGUCUGAGAGGACGACCAGCCACACUGGGACUGAGACACGGCCCAGACUCCUACGGGAGGCUGCAGUGGGGAAUUUUGGACAAUGGGCGCAAGCCUGAUCCAGCAAUGCCGCGUGCAGGAAGAAGGCCUUCGGGUUGUAAACUGCUUUUGUACGGAACGAAACGGUCCUGGUUAAUACCUGGGGCUAAUGACGGUACCGUAAGAAUAAGCACCGGCUAACUACGUGCCAGCAGCCGCAGUAAUAC
rnacentral:rRNA from 1 species